rnacentral:rRNA from 1 species
GACGGGGGGGGCAAGUGUUCUUCGGAAUGACUGGGCGUAAAGGGCACGUAGGCGGUGAAUCGGGUUGAAAGUGAAAGUCGCCAAAAAGUGGCGGAAUGCUCUCGAAACCAAUUCACUUGAGUGAGACAGAGGAGAGUGGAAUUUCGUGUGUAGGGGUGAAAUCCGUAGAUAUUGGGAAGAACACCGGUGGCGAAGGCGGCUCACUGGCUCGUUUCUGACGCUCAGGCGCGACAGCGUGGGGAUCAAACAGG